rnacentral:rRNA from 1 species
GUCUAUGGCCACACCACUCUGGCAACGCCCGAUCUCGUCCGAUCUCGGAAGCUAAGCAGGGUCGGGCCUGGUUAGUACUUGGAUGGGAGACCUCCUGGGAAUACCGGGUGCCGUAGGCU